rfam:Dipodomys ordii contig_56519, whole genome shotgun sequence.
UGGCUCAGUGGUAGAGCGCUUGCCUUACAUGCAUGAGGCCCUGGGUUCAAUUCCUCAG